GUUGGUGGGGUAACGGCCUCACCAAGCCGACGAUCCAUAGCCGACCUGAGAGGGUGACCGGCCACAUUGGGACUGAGACACGACCCAGACUCCUACGGGAGGCAGCAGUGGGGAAUAUUGCACAAUGGGGGAAACCCUGAUGCAGCGACGCCGCGUGAACGAAGAAGUAUUUCGGUAUGUAAAGUUCUAUCAGCAGGGAAGAUAAUGACGGUACCUGACUAAGAAGCACCGGCUAAAUACGUGCCAGCAGCCGCGGUAAUACGUAGGGUGCAAGCGUUAUCCGGAUUUACUGGGUGUAAAGGGAGCGUAGACGGUUUUGCAAGUCUGAAGUGAAAGCCAGGGGCUCAACCCCUGGACUGCAUUGGAAACUAUCCUACUAGAGUGUCGGAGAGGUAAGCGGAAUUCCCAGUGUAGCGGUGAAAUGCGUAGAUAUUGGGAGGAACACCAGUGGCGAAGGC
rnacentral:rRNA from 1 species